rnacentral:rRNA from 1 species
GAUGAACGCUGGCGGCGUGCUUAACACAUGCAAGUCGAACGGUAAGGCCCUUCGGGGUACACGAGUGGCGAACGGGUGAGUAACACGUGGGUGAUCUGCCCUGUACUUCGGGAUAAGCCUGGGAAACUGGGUCCAAUACCGGAUAGGACCACUGCCUGCAUGGGGGGUGGUGGAAAGCUUUUGCGGUGUGGGAUGGGCCCGCGGCCUAUCAGCUUGUUGGUGGGGUGAUGGCCUACCAAGGCGACGACGGGUAGCCGGCCUGAGAGGGUGACCGGCCACACUGGGACUGAGAUACGGCCCAGACUCCUACGGGAGGCAGCAGUGGGGAAUAUUGCACAAUGGGCGCAAGCCUGAUGCAGCGACGCCGCGUGAGGGAUGACGGCCUUCGGGUUGUAAACCUCUUUCAGCACCGACGAAGCGCAAGUGACGGUAGGUGCAGAAGAAGGACCGGCCAACUACGUGCCAGCCGCCGCAGUAA